AGUGUGUCUUUCUUACCAUCAUUUUGUCUGUUGGGACCGAGUUUGAUACGAGCGUCACAACCCGCCCCCUGUUCGCACUUGAGGUGGAUCAGCUUAGAAUUUGGACGAAUGGAUUAUCAAGCCCUCCCGCCCCCCGGGCAAGCGCUUCAGCCAAAAAGGCGUUUGUUGUCUUGCACGCCCCUGAUUUUCGUUCACUUACCGCGUGAUUUAUUGCCCAUAAUUGCGAACGAACUUUGUGCUGUAGACUACACCAGAACCAGAGUGUAGGAUUUUUCAUGUUAAAUAAACCAACACAACAGAAAGGUCAGCUUGGAGAGUGCCAUUAUCCUGAUGAUCCAGUAGGAAAAUUCACCACUAAAAAGCGUAAGGCGCGUUUCUAAUGGGAAAAGGCCUGGCCAACCUUAACGAAAUCACGCUGGCAGCUUUCACGCUGGCAGCCAACAGCCGGCAAGAUGGUGUGUGCCAUCAGCCAGUACCAUCAUUAUCACCGCGCCCCUCAAGUUGCGGUCGGCUUUUAACGUUAGCAAAUACCCACCCAAGUGGGUGAGAAAAUCGGCUCAUCUUCGUAGAUCCGUGAGAUAAUUAACGGUCGCUGGCCAUGUAAAUGGUGCGGACAGAUUACCCUCUCAAGCUUUCCUAGGUCUACAGGACUGACCUUGGCCGGCUCGUGAUGGAUUCAAUUUGGCCGAUCGUGCCGGAUCUGCUUGAUCAUCGCAAGGAAAAAUCAAACGCCCAGAACGGAUACGGAACAUUAAUCAUGAGGGUGUCAUCUGUUUAGAACAGAUUUUUUUCUCUCCUUUGGACAUUUUCAGCACAGACCACAAAAGGGAUUUUAUGAACUUCUCUGUAAAGUGGACGUUUGUUGUCUGUCGGAAGCGCGAUGUUGGCAUGGAUCAAAAUUAGUGAUUUUUUGGGAACAACAAACAAGACGUUAUACAUAUUCAUGCACAAAGCAACGAUUCCGCUCGAGGAAGUUGCCGCUUUGUGUCUCCCAAAUCAAAUGCUCAUCGCGUUGCAUCUUGAAGACUUCCUGCUGGUUAAACGUUAAAGCUGACAUGUCUCGUUAAAGUUAAUCUCCGCCGCGUUUGGGCUGAUUUGUACUGAUCUCCUACCUUUUACAAGCCGGCAAUUUGGUGCAACAAACCCUCCACACACACACACACACACACACACAUACCAUUGUUUACAAAGUGUGACAGAUUUGCGGUUGAAGAUGCAAGCGACGAACCUUACAUUUUGGGGUGGAAAUCCCGGUUUCGUACGCUAAGUUAAAUUACAAAUUAAACCCGUCCGCCGGCUCGGUUGCACAGUAAGGUGGCAAACCCACCACUUCCUUCCUCACGCUCUAGUCGAACUAAAAUGCACCCCGAGCGGUUGUGUCAUCUGGCCAGAGUGUUGACUCGCCGCAAAGACAGACACACGCCAGCUUCAAUAAAUCAGCGCAAAUGUUUGCCAAAUAUAUGUCUGACGGUCGCGGUUUUGGCAGCCUGCCUGCCUGCCUGCCUGCCUGCCCGGUGGUGGAGUCCGUUUCGUUAGAAGGUGAGAAAAUGCCAGCUGUGCAGCGAACAAGUUGGUCCAUUUCAACGCAGCCCGCAGCAGAUAAAAUCAAGCUUCUCAGCUUAGUUCAAACAAUUCGGCAGAUGUUGAAAACGGAGAUGGUUCGCGCGAGAGAGAGGCAUAAUGAUUAGAAGGUGAUGAUGGUGGUGGUGGCGUCGUUCGUACCGCUGCCAGUUGCGAUAACGAUCGGAUAAUGGAAGGAGGCGGAGAAGCGUAAGUAUAAAUGUCGAUUGGGGGACGAUUUAUAACAAUAUUUGAAGGUGUUUAUUAAUUAUU